CCUAACGGUCAGGGGGGUCCCUUUACUUUUACCUAUGUGUAAGGACUCUGCUGGCAGGGAGGUUUUCUGGAUCCAGGAAGGGGACUGUCAAUAUUACCUAAGUAAAUUUUAAAAUAAGUGAAUGAGAAAAUGAGUUAUAUCUUUCCACCUCUGCCUUACCUGGGAUUUGAAGGGAGCACCAGGAGUCCACGUAGGAGUUUUCAGAAGAACCCUCAGGCUGAAAUAAUUCUAAAGAGCUUGAAGAGUGCAACACUUGCUAUUGCCGAUUUCAUCAACUGGGUGCCCUCCAGUUGUUUUGGACUACAGCUCCCAUCACAGUCAAAGAUGUCAUCCAAAACACCUAGAAGGUACCAGGUUACCAAAGACUAUGCAACUGAAUUCUUCAGGCUGUGAUGCUGGUUUCUUAUGCAGUCAAAAUAGUAGCACCAGUACAACAGGAACUGAUCAGCUGGGAGAAACAAAAAGCUGGGAACAUGGGGUGGACUUCAGAAAUAGCCCUAUCAGAACUGAGAUGGAUUGCAAGUUGGUGGGGGUUGGAACAGGAAGACGGAGGUUGAGGAAGGUGAAUUAAAUAGAGAAACUAGAACCCUGGACUGAAACAGUUGCUGCAUGUCCCAGUUUAAUCUAUUUUGGAUUUUAAAAAAAUAAAAAUUGAAGGUGUGGGGCAGAUAUAAAUGCUUGAACCUGUAUAUUGAGCAGCCUGACAAACUUAAAGCAGAUACAAGCCAAGGGGUUGUGCAUGUCACUGUUUCCUCAUGUAUACAUGGGUCUCUGAGCAGUGAAAUGUUUGAACUAAGGACACACAUUCAUUUGAACCUCACCAACAAAGUGCAGCUACAUUUCAAAAGCUUUCUGGGCUUUGGCAAUUGGUUCAGCUGAAUUGAGCAAUGAUUCACAUCACUGCACAAAUGGACCUUGGCAUAUGAGGGCAAGAAAGUGAUUGAUCCAAGUACAUUCAUCAGCUUUCAGAGUAACAUUACACGACUUUGCCAAUAUGCUGAGUAUUUGAGACGUGAUCUCUAGUUCUUCACCUGCUCUUAUUGAUAAGGGAGAUGGGUGGGAAAGGGGCCCCACCACAUUCAGAUACAAAAGUUGUAUGAAUUAUGGGGUGUGUGUUUCUCUUUUUGCCUGAUUAUCCCCCUAUGACAGCCUUGCCUUCCUGUCUUCUGUUUAUUCAGUCACAGGAAAUAUUUUCAGGUUGAGGGGAGUGUGGAAAGCCAUCGUUUUCACAGGAAAUGUGCAUUUCUCUUUAUUUUCCAGUUAAGCAAGUUAAACCACAUGAGCUGGAGGGCAGCCCAACAGCCUCUUCAUUUAUUUACCAUCAAGUUGCAGAGGGUUGGAAUGGGCUGAGAUAACAACAGGCCAGAGACGCACAGUCACGAUGCUUCCAUAUCUGCACGGUGGCUCCAGCUUAUCUGCAGUCAUAAAAACAAAAAUUUAAGCAUGUGGUCUUAUGACAGAGAAGGAUCGAUGGAAUUUGGCUUUUGGGCUGAGGAUUAUGACCAUUGUCAACUUUGUCAUACAGAAAACUCUUCUCUUGCUAGACCUUUAAGCCCACUUUCUCAUUCCUCCAUAUGCAAACUCCUCCAUCUUGGCUGUGAGUCCUGGAUGUCCUGAUCCCUCCCUUGCAGAAUUUUUUUCCUACCUGGCCUGGGAGGGUGGGCCCCUGACUGACUCUAGCUACAAAAGCUGAGGCUUCACA